UGUAACUAGUCUCCUUCGUAAUGCUAACCAUAGUAUGAACUUAAAUCUAGGAUGCAUUUUUGGUUGCAACACAAUGCUUUUCUAAAGAACCUUUAGGAGUUGAGGGAAUUGCAGUCGAUAUAGCUUCCUAAUGCUAAAGUAAUUACCUUUUUUUAGCUGAUCCAACCCACUCAUAAGAUCACCUUGGAUACCCUGAACAUCACCAAUGAAUUUCCUUGACUCCGGAAUUUUCCUGACCACCUAAGCUGCAUUCUUGGGUAUUGGCAUAUGCUCAAACAUGUGAUUUUUUAUAUAGAAUUUAUGGAUCCACUUGAUCCAUAAGCAAUCUUUCUUUUUUUCCACUGCCCACAGGUGCUUUGCUACAACAACUAUGUCCAAAAACACCAAAUUCAUCACAUUUAGG
rnacentral:lncRNA from 1 species